UAGCAUAUAAUUAAGGGGAGGAAAAGAAACUAACAAGGAUUCCCUCAGUAAGGGCGACUGAAGCGGGAAAAGCUCACCGUGUGAAUCGACAUUUAAUGUCGAGUUGUGGUCUGUAGAAGCAUCGUCGGUCGACGUUCCGAGCUAAGUCUCUUGGAAAAGAGCAGCUGAGAGGGUGACACUCCCGUUCUUGCUUGGAAUGUGCGAUCAUAGCACGUGCCUUCAACGAGUCGAGUUGCUUGGGAUUGCAGCUCAAAUGCGUGGUAUACUCCAUGUAAAGCUAAAUAUUGGUAGGAAACCGAUAGCGCACAAGUACAGUGAUGUAAAGAUGAAAAGAACUUUGAAAAGAGAGUUAAAGAGUACCUGAAAUUGCUGAAAGGGAAGCGAAUGGAAACAGUGUGUUUCCGUACCAUUCUUCCUUCGCGACUUGUCGCGGGGGCGCUGUGGUGCGGAGUCAGUCAGCAUGGGUUUGGAUCGUGACAUAUAACCAUUGAGGAGGCAUGCUUCUUUUAGCAGAUUACUCUUUGGCGUUGUCCUGGUCUGGAUCGAGGCUAGUAUUUCGUGAUGCUGACGAAAUGUUUCUAUUCACCCCGUCUUGAAACACGGACCAAGGAGUCUAACAUGUUCGCGAGUAUCUGAGUGGCAAACUCAUAUGCGCAAUGAAAGUAACAGUGGUUGGACCCUUUUGGGGCACAAUCCGCCGGCCAUAAUUCUUCGGAAGAAAGGUCUGAGUGUGAGCAUACAUGUUGGGACCCGAAAGAUGGUGAACUAUGCGUGAAUAGGGUGAAGCCACCGGAAACGGUGGUGGAGGCUCGUACCGGUUCUGACGUGCAA
rnacentral:rRNA from 1 species